AUUUAGCCCUGACAGAAGUGAUAUCCUUUUCAACUUUAUAAUAAAGUUGAAAAGAUAAAAGCGAAUGGCAGGAAAUACA
rnacentral:sRNA from 1 species